AGUGCAGUCUGCUGCAGGAUGCUUUGGAAAAAUUGGAGUUUCCAGCAUGACUGAAAGUGCUCCCUCCAGAUAUUUAAUGUGCAAAUGAUUUUUCUUUCACAAUCUCCCUUGCUCACUCUCUCCCAUGUUCCACUUGGAAAGCAAACCCAUCAGCAUUUAUUUUAUGUGAGCUCCACUUCAGGAUGAGUUGUCUCCAAGGCUACAGCACUAAAAAGCCCCAGAGGAUUUGGGAACUUGACUGGAAAGACACCAGAGAUGUGGAGGCCCUGCUUCUCCUUGUCAGUCAGCAGAAAUCAGUUUUUCUGGGACUUCCAAAGGAAAAAAUACAGGGCUGCAAGCACCAGCUGCCCAUGAGGUAUCUGAUCUGUCAUCCCUUUGCAAAGCUCAGCACGUGCAUCCAUCUCCUGGAGAUCCUGCCAGAACUCCUUCAGGACCAUUGUGAAGGUCUAAAGACAGCCCAUGGUAGAGCUCUGGUUCCAAGCCAUGGGUCCUGCUGUGCUCCUGGGCUGGGGGAACAGGGAGAUUUGGACAUUGGCAAACUCUGCUCACAACCAUCAGCAGGAAUGUGCAGUGCUGCUCUGGAAAACACAGUCUCAAAUGGAAGAGCUGUAAUUAUUUAAAUUGUACUAGAAUUAACCAAAUAAUUAUGCCAGAUCUAUCCAGUCUAGACUCCUUGUGCCCUAGGUGGAGUUUAAAAUAUUAUGGUAACUUAGAUGGUGAUUUUUUAACAGGCUUUAAAGCUGUUUUAAAAUUUUCAACUUUUCAGGAUGAAAACCAAGCUUUUUGAGAAUUCUUGUCUGAGAAAAAGCAGUAUUUAGAUCAGAGUGGAGAUUUUAUUAGUGGUAAAAGGUACCAGAAUAACCAAUACCACUCCUGGCUUGGUCAUGAGGACAAGGGACAAGAAAGUAAAUCAGACCCUAAAGAAAUUAUCAAUCUAAGUAGCCUCAUGGCUGAGUAUCAAAAUAGUCGCCAGACAAUUUAAACCCAUAUUAUUUACCAGAAUAAAUCUAACAAUUGGGCAACUUUCACCCCUAUUUCCUAAGGUCAACCAUUUCACCAUCUCAGUUAAUCCCAGAGGUUCCUCUCUUCCCUGUGCUUUACCCCAAUGUCUGAUUUUGUGGAAAGGAGGUGGGAUCCACACACCUCCAACACUUCACCUGCUGAAAGAUCAGAUGGCAUAAGCUAAAUGAGACCACUUUAAAUGUCUUAUCAAUGUAAUGCCUUUGGCAUGUGAAGAGAUCACAGCUAGGAUUUGGGGCAGAAUUACUUAAGAAUUGAGCUGACAGCUUAUUUACAUUAUUAUUAAUGGUAGCAUUAACAGGACAGUCACACCCCAAGGGAGCUUUGCACUGUACACACAUGUCAAAGGCAAAUUCCCUGCCCAAACAACAAACAACUGCAAAGAAUUCACCUCCUUGUCUCUUCAUUUUUGACAACAGUGAAAAUUUCAAAUGGAGACACUGAAGAUUGAAUUCCAGUCUCCAGUGCCACCUGCAAUAUCAAGAAGUACUUUUGAAUAUAAUGCAACCUUCAUGAAACACAAGGAAGUUUUUUAGAUUUAUAGUCACCUGAAAAACUACUGGUGACACACUGACACAAAUAAUUCACUUUAAUCCCUGUGCCAACCUUCCCAACUUUAUCCAUCAAUAUUUUUCUUUCAUUGUUUGAACUUAUUUUGCAGUGAUAAUUAAUAUGUGUUUCAUGUAGUUUGAGCCAUGAAAGUUUCUGGUUAUUUGGAAACUCUUCCCAUUGUCCUAACUUUAAUUAAACCGUUCCACUUUGCA